AUAGCAUAUCAAUAAGCGGAGGAAAAGAAACCAACAGGGAUUGCCCUAGUAACGGCGAGUGAAGCGGCAACAGCUCAAAUUUGAAAUCUGGCUACCUUUCGUAGUCCGAGUUGUAAUUUGUAGAGGAUGCUUUUGGUGAGGUGCCUUCCGAGUUCCCUGGAACGGGACGCCAUAGAGGGUGAGAGCCCCGUACGGUUGGAUACCAAGCCUCUGUAUAGCUCCUUCAACGAGUCGAGUAGUUUGGGAAUGCUGCUCUAAAUGGGAGGUAUAUCUCUUCUAAAGCUAAAUAUAGGCUAGAGACCGAUAGCGCACAAGUAGAGUGAUCGAAAGAUGAAAAGCACUUUGAAAAGAGAGUUAAACAGCACGUGAAAUUGUUGAAAGGGAAGCGCCUAUGACCAGACUUGUUUCUGGCAGUUUCGUUAGCCCUCGGGCUGAUUUACUCUGUCCAGUACAGGCCAGCAUCAGUUUGUUGUCGGGGAGAAAGGCUCUGGGAACGUAGCUCCCCCCUUCUGGGGGGAGUGUUAUAGCCCUCUGCAUAAUACCCUUCGGCAGACUGAGGACCGCGCUUCGGCAAGGAUGCUGGCGUAAUGGUCAUCAGCGACCCGUCUUGAAACACGGACCAAGGAGUCAACCUUAUGUGCGAGUGUUUGGGUGUAAAACCCCAGCGCGUAAUGAAAGUGAACGUAGGUGAGAGCUUCGGCGCAUCAUCGACCGAUUCUGAUGUUUUCGGAUGGAUUUGAGUAAGAGCACACAGGGUUGGACCCGAAAGAAGGUGAACUAUGCUUGUAUAGGGUGAAGCCAGAGGAAACUCUGGUGGAGGCUCGCAGCGGUUCUGACGUGCAAAUCGAUCGUCAAAUAUGAGCAUGGGGGCGAAAGACUAAUCGAACCUUCUAGUAGCUGGUUCCAGCCGA
rnacentral:rRNA from 1 species